GCCUUGUACACACCGCCCGUCACACCAUGGGAGUGGAUUGCACCAGAAGUGGAUAGUCUAACCUUCGGGAGGACGUUCACCACGGUGUGGUUCAUGACUGGGGUGAAGUCGUAACAAGGUAGCCGUAGGGGAACCUGCGGCUGGAUCACCUCCU
rnacentral:rRNA from 1 species